UACGUAGGGGGCAAGCGUUGUCCGGAUUUAUUGGGCGUAAAGAGCGUGUAGGCGGCCAGUCAGGUCCGUUGUGAAAACUCGAGGCUCAACCUCGAGACGCCGAUGGAAACCGACUGGCUAGAGUCCGGCAGAGGAGAGUGGAAUUCCCGGUGUAGCGGUGAAAUGCGCAGAUAUCGGGAAGAACACCCGUGGCUAAGGCGGCUCUCUAGUACGGUACUGACGCUGAGACGCGAAAGCGUGGGGAGCGAACAGG
rnacentral:rRNA from 1 species